UAGAGCUUCCACCCAAUAUAGAAGAGGUGUAUGCUAAUGGAUGCAUCUCAUUGGAAAGGUUUCCAGAACUAUCAAGAAAGUUUCAAUUCAAUACUUGCAACUUAAGGGCAGUUUGAUGGAUUGAAUUGUUUAGAUGCUAUAAAAUGUUUGUGAAUAUACGGAUUCAUGUGGCAAAUCAUUUAUUCGAUGAGGGACAUCUUAAAGACUAUUUUGGCGGCAUUAUAUUUCCGGGAAGUAUGAUUCUUGACUGGUUAAUCCAUUGUAAGGAGGCUUCAAGUACUCGAUCAUGUGAAAUAGAUAUUGAUGGGCUUCUAUAUUGGGGUGAGAUUAUAGGAAUUGCUAUGUAUGUUGCUGUUGGACCUAUUUUUGCGAUCUCUACAGAAACUCCCCUUCAUCUUCUUAUUGUUGACAUCACCUGUAACAGCGUAAGAAAGCUUUGUAAAGAAAGGAUACUUCACUAAUGGGGUUUAGAUCAUGAAUGGUUGUAGUACUCUGUUCUAGAACCUUUCCAGCCAAAAGGGAAAAGUCUAAAUGUUAAGUUUACUUGUUAUUCAAACUCAUUAUCCCUUAAACGUUGUGGAGUCUAGUUGGUGCAUAAGCAUGUAGAUAAUGCUAAAGAUCAUUCAAUGUGUUCUAUGAGCAUGAUUGCAACUUGGAAUUUGACUAUUAUCCACAACAGAAGAGGCGUUCACAACCUUGGAUAUCAAAAACUUGAACUUAGAGGAUACUCAACUCGGAUUGCACAUCAUGCCACCAUUUGCUCAAAAACAAACUACUUGGUCUUAGCCAACUUCACAUGAGGCUGGUGAAAGCUCAUCUAGACAAGUGGCACGACCUUCCUGGAAGGAAACUUUGUUAUCGAAGAUGGAUUGUAGGAUGGAUGGACAUGUUGCUCUAGUGAGGAGACAGCUCGAAGAUAUUGCAUCUAGACUCAAGAACAUAGAGAUUCAACUCCAAGAUCUACAGAGUGCCUUCAAGGAAAAUGUACCAUAACCAGCAGAGGAUUGAUCCUACAGGGCUUGAUUCACAUUCUAUUUCAACUGGCUAACUUUUCAUUAUGUUUGUAUUGUACCGUACUCCUUUUGAGCAUGUUAUUUCAACAUGUUUUUGUGUCUGUGAUGGAGCUUUUAUGGAGCCUUGAUUCACUUCUAAAGUGAUAUUUGGUUGAGCUAUUAUGGAGUUGAUGAUCUAGAACAGUAAAAGAGAUGAAAAAAUAAAUGUUUGAAGAAGGCUGAUUUGUAUGCCUAAUAUACUUCCAA